CCGCCGCCCCCCGCAGGCGAGCGCUACCGCGCGGGGCUGUGCGCCGUGGCUGCCCGCUUCCUGGAGGCGCUGCGCGCGGAGCCCGCCGCCUUCUGGUGCUUCUCGGCCUGUCUGCGGCGCUGGGCGCCCUCGCUGCGCCCCCCCGGCGCCGCCCGCCUCGCGCGUGAGCCCCCCGCCCCGCCCCUGCCCCCGGGCUGGGAUCAGCCCCGGCCCCCCCCGAGCCCAGCCCGGGUCCGACCCCUGUGCCGCAGGCCGCGCCGCGGAGCUGCUGCACCACGCGGACCCCGAGCUGCACCGGCACCUGUGCGGGCUGAGCGCCGAGCCGCUGCUCUUCUGCCUCGGGUGCGGCUCCCCCCUCCCUGUGCCCCGCACUCCCGGCCGCGGGGCUCGAACCCGCGGCCUGCCGGGCGCCGCCGCCCCCUGGCGGCCAGAGGCGGCGGGGCACGGCCUGAGCCGGGAUCGGGGCCGCCCCCAGGUGGCUGCAGCUGCGCUUCCAGAGCGACCUGGACCACGAGGACGGGCUGCGAGUGCUGGAGCUGAGCGCCCUGGAGGGCCGGGCCGGGCAGCCCGGGGGAGGUGCGGCUCUGCCCCCCCUGCCCCCACCCUGCCGGCACCCAAGGGAGGGGGUCUCUGAUCCCCAGGGCUCCCCACAGGUGCAGAUGCCCCUGGGGACGGGGCCACCAUCGCACUGCUGCUCUGCGUGGCCCUCCUGAUCCGGCACCGACAGCAUCUGCUCUGCUGCCGGGGCGCCCACGACCUGGUCCUCUUCGCCCAGAGGCUGCAGGGGAAGGUGGCACUGGGCCGGGAACUGGGUCCCCUGGAGUCACCGGGCGAGUUGCAAUGAAGUUCUGCUGUGCCAGGAGCAGGAGCCGUCCUUGUCUCUGCGGCCACAAGCCCCUGCCCCCACUCCCCCCCAUUUGCCAGCCUUGAGCCACUGGGGGGGGGGGGGGGGGGGAGUGGGUGAGCCCUGGAGGCUGCAGGUUGGGCGUGAGGGGCACUGGUGGUCAGGGGGGAGGAGCCACCAGGUCCAGCCAGUUCACACAAUGGCAGGAUCUGGAUCAGGCCCAGGCUGCCUGCAGCAGGGGGCACUCAGGGCAGGCCUGCGCGUACCAGUGAUGGGGUGAUUAAAGAACCCAGGCAUCAUCCCCUCCCACACCCCCAGCAGGGGACAGGCAAUGAGCACAGGCCGCAGAUGGAAAAGUCACCGUUUAUUGCCCCGGGGGGGGGGCAGGGGGGCCUCACACGUCAGUUUUAUGGACAGGAAAAAAUUCCCCUAGUUUAAAAACACCUAUGUUAAAAAAACAGCAAGGGCGGGGGAUGAGGACUGGGGGGAGGGGAUGGGGGGGACACAGGAGACAGGGCAGGGGGCAGAGACGAUGCCCGCCCAGGGGGGGAGUGACCCUGGGCUGUGCCAGGCUCCCCAUGGCCAGAGCAGCUGCCAGCCUGGGGUGGGGGCAGGGGGGUGGGGCGCACAGGUACAGACUGGGGGGCAGGGGGAACUUGCCUCCAGGGAUGUGGAUGCAGACAGGACAGCCGUACGGAGGCACCGGAGCCGAGGCCCCCAUGGGGGCCUGGGGCAGAGGGAUGAAGGCCCCAGGAGGAAGACAGAGGCUGUGGGGCACUGGGGAAGCUUGGAGAGCUGGGCAGUAGGGAGCUAAGCCCAGCGGGCAUCAUUCCCCAGCUGCUUCCACCUAGGCUGGUGCCCCCGGCCCUGCAGGGGCAACACGCGGACGGGACAUUUGUGGCCUGGAAAACAGAGCCGGGUCUCACAGUGCCCAGAGGCUGUCCCCUGCUCCCUCCCUUGGCCUGUCAGGACCCACACCCCCCCCGCCCCGGGGUGAACACUGACGCAGGCGUGCACACGUGGGUGAGGUGGGUGGUAGUGGGAGGGCAGGGGCAGGCACGCGGGCUCAGUGAUUCAGGCUGGGAGCUUGGAGGGAUGUGGCUCCAUCCCUGGCCCAGUGGGGGUUUGGCAUAUGGUGCCCCACAUCCCUGCGGGGUCGACACUUCCCUGGGCUCCAGCCCCUACUGCUCCCCCUACCCACCUUCCUCUGCGGGGCUAAUACUUGGCCUGCCUGCAGCAGCCUUCCCCCAGGAAGGGGUGGGGAGGAAAGCUAGACCUCCUGGGGGAGCCGGCACAGGUCAGGGAUGCAGAAAGGGGGCAAGGGCAGCUCCAGACCUGCCGGGCCAGGCCCUCUAGGGUAAGCAGCCAGGCAUGGGCUCUCCCCACUGUGGUUUGGGGCUGGCCAAUGAAGUAAUGUCAGCAGGGAAGGAUGGCACGGAGCAAGUGGGGGCAACAACUGCCCCAUUAACUUCCCUGCUCCAGACACUGACCAGCUUCCCUGGGGCACCAGUGCCAGGGCCGAGUGAGACCCAGGGCAGGGGCUGGACUAGAUGACCUCCUAGGGGGUCCGGCAGCUCUGGGUCUCCAUGCUCCGGCCUGAGAUCAGCCACAGGGAGGAAUCCAGUGCCUGGUCACACGCUGUCCCCUGCAGAGGGACAGGACCAUACAGGGAGGAGGGAAGGACGGACAAGAAGCCCCCAUCCCCCAGUUAAAAGAGCCUUUGGGGCAAAGGCUUUC